rnacentral:rRNA from 1 species
UACGUAGGUGGCAAGCGUUGUCCGGAUUUAUUGGGUUUAAAGGGUGCGUAGGCGGCCCUGUAAGUCAGUGGUGAAAUACUCUAGCUUAACUAGAGGGGUGCCAUCGAUACUGCAGGGCUUGAGUACAGACGAGGUAGGCGGAAUUGACGGUGUAGAGGUGAAAUGCAUAGAUAUCGUCAAGAACUCCGAUAGUGAAGACAGCUUACUAGGCUGUAACUGACGCUGAGGCACGAAAGUGUGGGGAUCAAACAGG